rnacentral:rRNA from 1 species
CCUACGGGAGGCAGCAGUGAGGAAUAUUGGUCAAUGGCCGUAAGGCUGAACCAGCCAAGUAGCGUGAGGGAAGACUGCCCUAUGGGUUGUAAACCUCUUUUAUGCGGGGAUAAAGGUGUCCACGUGUGGAUGUUUGCAGGUACCGCAUGAAUAAGGACCGGCUAAUUCCGUGCCAGCAGCCGCGGUAAUACGGAGGGUCCGGGCGUUAUCCGGAUUUAGUGGGUUUAAAGGGAGCGUAGGCCGGUCUUUAAGCUUGCCGUGAAAUUUUGUGGCUCAACCAUGAGAGUGCGGCGGAAACUGGAGACCUUGAGUGCAGGGGAGGUAGGCGGAAUUCGUGGUGUAGCGGUGAAAUGCUUAGAUAUCACGAAGAACCCCGAUUGCGAAGGCAGCCUACCGCAGCGUUACUGACGCUGAAGCUCGAAAGCGCGGGUAUCGAACAGGAUUAGAUACCCUAGUAGUC